rnacentral:rRNA from 1 species
CAAUAGCGUAUACUAAAGUUGUUGCGAUUAAAAAGCUCGUAGUUGGAUCUCAGGCAUGGGCGCACGGUCCGCCUCGCGGCGGUCACUGUGUGUUUUGUUUCCCAUCCUAUGCUUCCCGGUUAUCAGCCCAUGGUGCUCUUCACUGAGCGUUUUGGGUGGCCGGAACGUUUACUUUGAAGAAAUUAGAGUGUUCAAAGCAGGCACGUCGCCUGAAUAAUGGUGCAUGGAAUAAUGGAAUAGGACCUCGGUUCUAUUUUGCUGGUUUUCGGAACACGAGGUAAUGAUUAAGAGGGACAGACGGGGGCAUCCGUAUUGCGGUGUUAGAGGUGAAAUUCUUGGAUCAUCGCAAGACGAACAACUGCGAAAGCAUUUGCCAAGCAUGUUUUCAUUAG